CAUUCGUUGUAAUUUUUUUUGUAACGUGUAAAAAGAACAAAUUGUGUGGUGGUGGUGUUUCUUCAUUUACCCCCUAGUAAAUAAGAUUUAUCGUGUUCAUAUUGAUGUGUGCUUUAAACGAAACAAGUUAAUUUACAUAUACCUACAAACUAUUUUGUAUAACUGUGUUUUUAAAUCUACAUUUGCAUUAUAUAUUAUUUCUUUUGCUUUGCAUACUUUUAAAGUUUGGACUUUGAACUCGUAUAGCAUUUUAUAACAUUUCAUUAAAAAAUUAUACUGCGUUGCAGCUUUUUUGCUGUAUAAUUAAACUUCUUAAAUUGUUUCUUAAAAUUUUGAGCUUACUUUUUUGUUUUUAUCACAAAUUUGCUUUUAUAAAACAAAACAUUAUAUACCCUACAAAGGUUUUUUUUGAAUGUAACUUUAAAUUUUUAACAUUCUUGAGUAAAAUUAUUAUUGUUGCUAGUUUACUGCUUAGCUUUGCUAUACAGUUUUUUUUCUUCAAAAUUUUAUGAAACUUGGUGUGAGUUUAGAAUUAUAUUUUUGAUUUAUACCCUCAAGGUUUAUUUACAAUUUGUAAAUUCUUUCAAAUUAUGCAACAAUUUAUAAAAUCAUUUCGGCCAAAUUUCAAUUAAACAUUUAACUUGCUGUCUAGUGAAAUUAUAGUUCUUGGUUGUAUAACCACGGCUAUACAUAAGUACCUACAUGCUUGUUGUUUAUGUUGCAUUCCUUUUGAGCUCAUAGCAAAUAAACUGGUUCUGUUUUUUUACACGCUCGUUAGUAUUACGUGUACAAUCUUUUAUUGUUGAGCUAUUGUUUGCUUAAUAGUUUUGUAUUCUAUUACCGGAUAAAUUCUAAUAAGUAAAUCUUUUGAAUUGGAUUAAAUACGUUAAAUAAACAACAUUUAUGCAUUGUUAGUUUUAUAAAUAACUAUAUAUAUUUUUUUUUACAUUUGCAUUUUGUUUAUUUGCAUUUAUUUUUACUUUUCAAGUAGGUAUUUAGUUAAUGAAAAUAUUCUUUGAUUAUUUUUUCUUUAAAACUUAGUAAGUACUUAGUUAAAUCUUUGUUAAAGUACAUUGGUCAUUCAUUUUUUUUAAUCAUGGCGUUGGAAGAACGUCCAAUUAAAUUUCAUCUAUUACGUAAAGAUGAAAUAAUUUACGAGUUAUUAUUUCGUGGUGCAGGGCCACCACUUGUACUAUACAUCUUCACAUUUUGAAGGUGUGGGUACACCGGCAGCGUUGGGGAAUCAUUUAGGUUAGUUGUCUUUUAGGUUAGUUGUUGUAGGAGCCGAUUUACUGGUGGACGCGCGGCCGCUGUGGGGCUCGCCGCGCCGCCACUGACAAAUUGUGGCCUAUUAUAUUGUUGACGGUGGACGUGUGGGCAUUCCCUAGGUUCCCCACACUGCCACUGUCGACAUAUCCAGUUAUUUUUAUUAUUUCUUUUUUAAUUUUUUUUUUCUCUUUAUAACUUUAUUUCCGAGCAGCUUGCGGGUGGACGCGCGGCCACACCGGCGGCACGCCGCGCCGCCAUCAACAAGUUGGGUCGUUUUUUUAUAUAUUUUUUUUUCUUUUUUUUUUGUUUCGCGGUAGGUAGGGAUUAGUACCUAAUCGUGUGGUUUGUUGAUGGUUGGGGUCGAGCACUCACCAAUAGUAAGGUGAGGUCACUUCCCCGCCGUUUUAGGAUGUUGAGGGAGUGGUAGUUGUGACUGAUGGCUGUUGAAGUCAUUAGUGUUUAUUGAUGGUUGGGGUCGAGCACUCGCCAAUUGUAAGGUGAGGUCACUUCUCCACCAUUUUGAGAUGUUGAGGGAGUGGUAGUUGUGACUGAUGGCUGUUGAGUCAUUAGUGUUUAUUGAUGGUUGGGGUCGAGCACUCGCCAAUUGUAAGGUGAGGUCACUUCUCCACCAUUUUGAGAUGUCGAGAGAGUGGUAGUUGUGACUGAUGGCUGUUGAAGUCAUUAGUGUUUGUUGAUGGUUGGGGUCGAGCACUCGCCAAUUGUAAGGUGAGGUCACUUCCCCACCAUUUUAAGAUGUUGAGGGAGUGGUGGUUGUGACUGAUGGCUUUUGAAGCCGUUAGUGUUCGUUGGUGGACGUAGUUAUUGCUACGGACACGUAUUAUUGUUGUAAUGAGUCAUUGCGACUUGCUUACCGACAUGUUUUUGGCGCUCGUAUGCGCGCUAUUGAUGCGAUUUCUUGGAUGCGAAGUAUUUCUUGGAUGCGAAGUAUUUCUUGGAUGCGAAGUAUUUUUUGGAUGCGAAGUAUUUUUGGAUGCGAAGAAUUUCUUGGAUGCUAUCAGAUGUUGUUGUGCUCAUGGUGAGCACAGGUGGUAUAUGUGCCGUCUCGGCAAGUUUUUACGUUGCGCGGCGUCCGCCGGCAAUGGCAUUUCUGCCUUUAUUUUUUUUCUAUUCUUUUUAAGUUUAUCUUUUUACUGUUUGUACCGAAUGGCAUUUUUUGCCUUUAUUUAUUUUCAUUGAUAUGGUUUUACUUUUUUUAUUUUAAAUUAUUUCUCUUUUAAGUUAAACUUGAAUAUUUUUGUGGAGGUUUGAGUUUUGGUUUGUUUGAGGGAUCAGCUGGAGGGCCAGCUGGGAUUUCCUCGUUUGUUUUAUUUUUUAAUUAUUUUUUUUUUUCACUCGGAAAUCCUUUUGGGUGGGGAGGUAUUGUAGUGCCGUUUCUUUCAGCCUCCGGAUUAGUUACAGGGGAUCCGUUUUAUAGCUUUUUUGUGUAGUAUUGAACACAGCGCCAUCUCGCCUUGUUCGAUGGAAGGUCCGUGAGCAUCGACUUGCUAUCGUUGGGCUCCGCAGUCGACGACUUUCCACCAGUAACCGGAAGAUGGCGUGUGCCGAUAUUAUACGGAAGGCUAUAUCUUGGAGUCCCUUGUCAAGUAGCUGCUGAAGAAUGUUGGUGUCAAUAUUUAAUACAAAAUUAUAUUUGGGAAUUUUCGGUCUGUCUCCUGUCCUUGGAGUUGUUAAUAACUUGCAUGUUGAGUGUGCGACGGCGGCGUCAUCUAACGGACGAUUGAGGUCGUACUAGCUUUGUCCGUGACGUAGGCGUUGAAUUGGGCGAUUUAUAUAGUCCUGCGCCUGCGAGCUGCCGCAUUCCCCAGACAGCGCUCCGCCGAGCGGGUGUGUCCACACCUUCGAUUUUUAGUGUGAAUUUCGGGUGAGAAUUUGUCUUUAUAAUGCGUUAUAGCAUUUUAAUCGUAAUUAUCAGUGUCGAUAUAUGUUGUCAUUGUUUUUCUUUUAGGCGGUUUAUAAGCGUGUGACCGGUGGCCCGCAACUCCGUCGCACGCGCCGCCAAAUCUUCGUAAAUUUUUAUUCUGGUGUGGUUUUGGUGUCCGUGGCGUGGACACGUUGCUCCGCCAUUUUGUCCCAGCGUCGUGGCAUCGACGUCAUCGUACGUUGGCCGCAUACGUGGCUUCUCGACCUCCGACAGGUGAGUCUUUUUAUACGAUUUUGGGGAGUUAGUUAGGUUGUGCCUCCGCCCCUAGAGGUUUGAUUUACCCCUGUGCGUUUUGUCCACAGGAGGUGUUUUGCGAAGGUGUUUUGUGACGGCUGUUUUACGAAGGCUGUUCUGUUCUAUGACGGGUGUUUUGUACAGCUGUUCUGCUACAGCUUAUUGGUAGCUGCUCCUAGUCGGCUCGGCUUCCUUCCCGCUGCCGAGGGCAAACGAGUUAGGGAGGUUUUUAUAAUACCUUUCUUAUUUUUUUUUUAUAAUGCUUAACGAAUGACCAGUGGCCUUGAAUACCUGGAAUGUACCCUUAGGAUUUAAAAGUUCCAAAUACUUAUUUAUAUUUUUGUGUAACUUUGGUUUUCUUAGUAAUUAAUAAAUACAAGUAAACCA